AUUGAACGCUGGCGGCAGGCCUAACACAUGCAAGUCGAACGAGUGGCGGACGGGUGAGUAAUGUCUGGGAAACUGCCUGAUGGAGGGGGAUAACUACUGGAAAAGGUAGCUAAUACCGCAUACCAUCAGAUGGGCCCAGAUGGGAUUAGCUAGUUGGUGGGGUAACGGCUCACCAAGGCGACGAUCCCUAGCGGGUCUGAGCGGAUGACCAGCCACACUGGAACUGAGACACGGUCCAGAUGCCUCCGGGAGGCAGCAGUGGGGAAUAUUGGACAAUGGGGGCAAGCCUGAUGCAGCCAUGCGGCGUGUAUGAAGAAGGCCUUCGGGUUGUAAAGUACUGUCAGCGGGGAGGCGUUACCCGCAGAAGAAGCACCGGCUAACUCCGUGCCAGCAGCCGCGGUAAUAC
rnacentral:rRNA from 1 species